rnacentral:misc_RNA from 1 species
GAACGCACCUUGCGCUCCUUGGUAUUCCGGGGAGCAUGCCUGUUCGAGCGUCAUUACAACCCUCAAGCUCUGCUUGGUGUUGGGCCCCGCCGCCCCGGCGGGCCCUAAAGUCAGUGGCGGUGCCGUCCGGCUCCGAGCGUAGUAAUUUUUCUCGCUUUGGAGGCCCGGGCGCGUGCUUGCCAUCAACCCCCAAUUUUUUUCAGGUUGACCUCGGAUCAGGCAGGGAUACCCGCUGAACUUAAG